ACGCUGGCGGCAGGCCUAACACAUGCAAGUCGAGCGCCGUAGCAAUACGGAGCGGCAGACGGGAGAGUAACACGUGGGAACGUGCCCUUCAGUUCGGAACAACCCAGGGAAACUUGGGCUAAUACCGGAUACGUCCGUAAGGAGAAAGAUUUAUCGCUGAAGGAUCGGCCCGCGUCUGAUUAGCUAGUUGGUGAGGUAACGGCUCACCAAGGCGACGAUCAGUAGCUGGUCUGAGAGGAUGAUCAGCCUCACUGGGACUGAGACACGGCCCAGACUCCUACGGGAGGCAGCAGUGGGGAAUAUUGGACAAUGGGCGCAAGCCUGAUCCAGCCAUGCCGCGUGGAUGAUGAAGGCCCUAGGGUUGUAAAGUCCUUUCGGCGGGGAAGAUAAUGACGGUACCCGCAGAAGAAGCCCCGGCUAACUUCGUGCCAGCAGCCGCGGUAAUACGAAGGGGGCUAGCGUUGCUCGGAAUCACUGGGCGUAAAGCGCACGUAGGCGGCUUUUUAAGUCAGGGGUGAAAUCCUGGAGCUCAACUCCAGAACUGCCUUUGAUACUGAGAAGCUUGAGUCCGGGAGAGGUGAGUGGAACU
rnacentral:rRNA from 1 species